rnacentral:misc_RNA from 1 species
GAUGAAGAACGUAGUGAAUCGCGAUAAGUAAUGUGAAUUGCAGAUUUUCCGUGAAUCAUCGAAUCUUUGAACGCACAUUGCGCCCGCUAGUAUUCUGGCGGGCAUGCCUGUCCGAGCGUCAUUUCAACCCUCAAGCCCCCGGGCUUGGUGUUGGGGAUCGGCGAGCCUCCGCGCCCGCCGUCCCCUAAAUCUAGUGGCGGUCUCGCUGUAGCUUCCUCUGCGUAGUAGCACACCUCGCACUGGGAAACAGCGCGGCCACGCCGUUAAACCCCCAACUUCUGAACGUUUGACCUCGGAUCAGGUAGGAAUACCCGCUGAACUUAAGCAUAUCAAUAAGCGGAGGA